CAGCCUCGGACAGCUCCUCCCAGAGACUGCUCUCAGAAUAUCAGACCUACGGAGACACACACGCACACGCACAUCACGCCAACACCCACAUAGUACGGCCUGUGGCGGCUGCACUUGUUUGUGUCAGACACUGUGACGCUCACACCCUCGUUUCUUUAAUACCCACAACAGUCCUCUAUUUCUUGAGCAUCUUUUGUGUGCCGGGUAUGUGUCGGGGACGGUCAUAGCCAGCCCGCAAGAUGGCCUCCAGGUCCACACCUGGUGUGUGUGAAGGUGGCAUUGUGCAGGAGCCAAGGUACAUCUCUUCCGAGGUAGGGAAUAAAAGUGGCUUCUGUCCUGGGUGUUCUCUCGCCCUCUUGCUGUCCCUUUCGGAUCACUUGCUCUUCAGGAAGUGAGCUGUCACACCGUAGACAGCCCUCUAGCGAGGUUCACGCGGCACAGAACUGAAGCCUCCAGCCAGCAGCCUGCAGACCUGGGGACCGCCCCCAGCCAGUGAGGGAGCUUGGUGGCAGACCCUCCAAUCAGGCCUUCAGACGACCAGAACCCCGUGAUGAGGAUUCCCAGCUUGCAGUCAUGGUGGGAGGGCCUGGACCCUGCACCUCGGCUUCACGGCUGAAUUCCUGGGAGUGGGUGUCACGUUCUCGGGAGGUGGAAACAGAUGCAGUGGCCGUAUUUUUCCAGCCUCCAGGUGACCUGGGACAAACUCCACUGAAACUGCAGGGGGAGGGAAAUGAUGAAGGAAACACAAUUUGGUUGCAGAAAGACUCCCAUUUCGGAGGUUCUCCAAUAUUUACAGGGGCAACAGGCAGAAUAAUCCAACUCCGGCGCGUCACAGCUGUGAGUUGUUGUUUGCCAUUUCCUCUUUGGAAGCAGCAAACCACACAGAGUAUCUGUGCAUCACAGCAGAAAGUGCCAAAAUAACCUGACAGCCCACCGGGCAAGCACAUCCGCCUCCUUCCUGGUGACAGAUGAGCCGCUCGUGAGUGACUCAUGGCCCGAGGACUCCCUCCUUCUGUGCCCGCCUCCCUCUCGCCCAGAGAUGCCUUGCUGUCCUACAGCACAACCUCGGCGCCCCUGGGUGCUCCCCACCAGCAGGUCCAUAGCCACGGCAGCCGUGUUUUCCAGGUCAGAUGGACAGACAGUGCUGCAAACCUGAAGUUAUGCUUGGAGGACACAGGGACAGAACACUGAAGCCGAGGCUCUCUGGGAAAAUGAAGGGCACAAAGGAGCAAAUAUCCCCCAAGUGAUCUACUCAUCCUGAAGGGGCAGAGGAGUCAUUCAUUUAUCCACUCAUGUGUUCUUUCAAUGAAUUUUCCUUGCACACCUACCACAUGCCAGGACUGGGCAAUGCGCUGGAGAAACAAGGUGCACGGACAGAGCCCCUGCCCUCGGAGUGUUUGUAGUCAGCCAGGGAGACAGACAGGUGCCCAGGCGCUGGCCUGUGCUUCUGGUGAACUCGGUGGGGACAUUCAUCCCAGUCCGAGGGGAGGACCAGGGAGAAUGUGCACGUGUGGUGACGUCAGGGGAAGGCUCCAUGACAAGUGACUUCUAAGCCAAGACCCGCAGGGUGGAUAGGAGUUAGGUGCAGGGGACAGCUGUGGCCAGGCACAGGGAAAGCUUGUGCAAGGAUGGAGAGGAGUUAGGUGCAGGGGACAGCUGUGGCCAGGCACAGGGAAAGCUUGUGCAAGGAUGGAGAGGAGUUAGGUGCAGGGGACAGCUGUGGCCAGGCACAGGGAAAGCUUGUGCAAGGAUGGAGAGGAGUUAGGUGCAGGGGACAGCUGUGGCCAGGCACAGGGAAAGCUUGUGCAAGGGUCCUGAGGUGAGGGAAACAGUAGAAAGGGCAGAGGAGGAGGCUCUUGCGAGCUUCAUCCCUCGGGGCCAUGGGGAGCCACAGAAGAUUUCCAGUGAGAGAAACGCAACCUCGUUUAUAUUUUAGAAACAUCACUUUUGCUGCUGUUACUGACUCUCCCUCCCCCACCCCCAUUUUCGUGGCCUUGUGGCUGAGCACACCUAGCUAAGGCAGGGCCUUCGGGAAGACUGUGGCCUGGGCUGACCUAGUCCCCGGGGUGCCGGGAGAUAAUGACAGGCUCUGUCCUGCGCCCCACCCCACCACAGCAGGCUUCAGGGUCAGGCUGUGAGGGCUGCUAUGUUGGGCUUUCACGGGCGAGGGCUUCG